CGAGAAGUACAGACUUACGAAGACAAGCCAGAAUAGGUUCGUGAAGAAAAAAAAAUUUGAAAAAAAAAACAAAAUUCACAUUGUAUUGCAAGUUUCUCAUUGUUAUUUCUUUUUGAAGUAUUGAAAAAAAACGCAAUUUCAAAAAAAAAAGUUGGAAAUGUCCCGAUUCACAAAGAAUUGAUUUUCUGCUCCCAUCUCUUUUUCCCCAACGCCACACUCAAC
rnacentral:lncRNA from 1 species